rnacentral:rRNA from 1 species
GACGAACGCUGGCGGCGUGCCUAAUACAUGCAAGUUGAGCGCUGAAGGUUGGUACUUGUUCCGACUGGAUGAGCAGCGAACGGGUGAGUAACGCGUGGGGAAUCUGCCUUUGAGCGGGGGGCAACAUUUGGAAACGAAUGCUAAUACCGCAUAAAAACUUUAAACACAAGUUUUAAGUUUGAAAGAUGCAAUUGCAUCACUCAAAGAUGAUCCCGCGUUGUAUUAGCUAGUUGGUGGGGUAAAGGCUCACCAAGGCGAUGAUACAUAGCCGACCUGAGAGGGGGGACGGCCGCAUUGGGAAUGAGGAACGGCCCAAACCCCAAAGGGAGGCGGCAGGAGGGAAUCGUGGGCAAUGGACGAAGGGCGGACCGAGCAAGGCGGCGGGAGGGAAGAGGGUUGUCGGAUCGUAAAACUCUGUUGGUAGAGAAGAGCGUUGGUGAGAGUGGAAAGCUCAUCAAGUGACGGUAGCGACACAGAAAGGGACGGCUAACUACGUG